CAGCCGUAAACAAUGUGCGUUAGGUGUGUCGGUAACCACGUGUUACUGAUGCGCCGAAGAGAAAUCGUGAAACGCACCACCUGGGAAGUACGGUCGCAAGGCUGAAACUUAAAGGAAUUGGCGGGGGAGCACCACAACAGGUGGAGCCUGCGGUUUAAUUGGAUUCAACGCCGGACAUCUCACCGGAUAAGACAGCUGAAUGAUUGUCAAUCUGAAGGUUUUACAUGACUAGCUGAGAGAGGUGCAUGGCGUCAGUGACU
rnacentral:rRNA from 1 species